rnacentral:other from 1 species
GAUUUCCUGCCUUGUUAGUGAUAAGAAAUAAAACUUUUUCCUACGUUCACAAAUUUGGGAGUCAGCGUAAUGUGAGUGUUGAGCGCCUGAAAGGGAAAAAGCCUGAUCUUGCUUACAAGACACCCACCUGUAUAUACAGGGAUUAAAGUUUUGUUCUACACGGCAAGGCGGGUUUCUU